CGGACGGGUGAGUAACACGCGGAUAACCUACCUAUAAGACUGGGAUAACUUCGGGAAACCGGAGCUAAUACCGGAUAAUAUUUUGAACCGCAUGGUUCAAAAGUGAAAGACGGUCUUGCUGUCACUUAUAGAUGGAUCCGCGCUGCAUUAGCUAGUUGGUAAGGUAACGGCUUACCAAGGCAACGAUGCAUAGCCGACCUGAGAGGGUGAUCGGCCACACUGGAACUGAGACACGGUCCAG
rnacentral:rRNA from 1 species